rnacentral:rRNA from 1 species
GAUGAACGCUGGCGGCGUGCCUAAUACAUGCAAGUCGAGCGAACAGACGAGGAGCUUGCUCCUCUGACGUUAGCGGCGGACGGGUGAGUAACACGUGGAUAACCUACCUAUAAGACUGGGAUAACUUUGGGAAACCGGAGCUAAUACCGGAUAAUAUAUUGAACCGCAUGGUUCAAUAGUGAAAGACGGUUUUGCUGUCACUUAUAGAUGGAUCCGCGCCGCAUUAGCUAGUUGGUAAGGUAACGGCUUACCAAGGCGACGAUGCGUAGCCGACCUGAGAGGGUGAUCGGCCACACUGGAACUGAGACACGGUCCAGACUCCUACGGGAGGCAGCAGUAGGGAAUCUUCCGCAAUGGGCGAAAGCCUGACGGAGCAACGCCGCGUGAGUGAUGAAGGUCCUCGGAUCGUAAAACUCUGUUAUUAGGGAAGAACAAAUGUGUAAGUAACUAUGCACGUCUUGACGGUACCUAAUCAGAAAGCCACGGCUAACUACGUG